UAGGGAAUCUUCCACAAUGGACGAAAGUCUGAUGGAGCAACGCCGCGUGAGUGAUGAAGGGUUUCGGCUCGUAAAACUCUGUUGUUGGAGAAGAACAGGUGAUAGAGUAACUGUUAUCAUCUUGACGGUAUCCAACCAGAAAGCCACGGCUAACUACGUGCCAGCAGCCGCGGUAAUACGUAGGUGGCAAGCGUUGUCCGGAUUUAUUGGGCGUAAAGCGAGCGCAGGCGGUUUUUUAGGUCUGAUGUGAAAGCCUUCGGCUUAACCGGAGAAGGGCAUCGGAAACCGGGAGACUUGAGUGCAGAAGAGGACAGUGGAACUCCAUGUGUAGCGGUGAAAUGCGUAGAUAUAUGGAAGAACACCAGUGGCGAAGGCGGCUGUCUGGUCUGUAACUGACGCUGAGGCUCGAAAGCAUGGGUAGCGAACAGGAUUAGAUACCCUUGGUAGUCCAUGCCGUAAACGAUGAGUGCUAAGU
rnacentral:rRNA from 1 species